AACCCAUUGUGUGGACAGUCUCGAACCAACCUCUUAAACCUUGCCCAUGCAUCACUGAGUGAUUCGUCAUGUCUUGUUCAAAAUUUGUAAUCAAUUUCCUUCGUCU